UACGUAGGGUCCGAGCGUUGUCCGGAAUUAUUGGGCGUAAAGGGCUCGUAGGCGGUCCGUCACGUCGGGAGUGAAAACUCGGAGCUCAACUCCGAGCCUGCUUCCGAUACGGGCAGACUAGAGGUAGGCAGGGGAGAGCGGAACUCCUGGUGUAGCGGUGAAAUGCGCAGAUAUCAGGAGGAACACCGGUGGCGAAGGCGGUCUCUGGACGGUACUGACGCUGGAGACGCGAAAGCGUGGGGAGCGAACAGG
rnacentral:rRNA from 1 species